CAGUCAGUGAGUCACCUGAGUAUAAAGACUUAUACUGCAACUAUGUGAACCAAGGCCUCUGUUUUGAGGCUGUGAAGAAAUCUGUUUCCUCACUAAAGGGGCAGCUGGAGAUCCUCUGCAAGGAGGAAGUCAUGAAGAUAUCUGCAGCAGUGACUGAACCCCAGGAACCUACAACCAGAGAAGAUUUCCUACAAUAUUCCUGUCACUUCACACUGGAUCCCA